rnacentral:lncRNA from 1 species
GUAUACCUAUGAGGUAGGCUAAAAUACUUUGUCUUUGCCAUUUUGUUUUUAUUUUAUUUUAUUUUUAUCUUUUUGAGGGCCGCACCUGCAGCAUAUGGAGGUUCCCAGGCUAGGGGUCUAAUUGGAGCUGUUAGCCACUGGCCUAUACCACAGCCAUAGCAACGCACAAGCCAAGCUGCGUCUGCGACCUACACCACAGCUCAUGGCAACGCCGGACCCUUAACCCACUGAGCAAGGCCAGGAAUUAACCCGCAACCUCAUGGUUCCUAAAAGAAAUACGUUUCAUGGUUCCUAGUCAGAUUCGUUUCCAUUGAGCCACAAUAGGAACUCCUGUCUUUGCCAUUUUAUAAAUCUCUGGAAGUCAUCCUUUUUAAGCUAGGAGUUCUUUGUUAUGUUUACAAUGCAGGUGUAAAUUUUGUCUUUGAAAACUUUGUUCGUUGGGGAACUCUAGGCUGACUAAAUUGUUCCCAUGUUUUCACAGUAAAGAACUGUUCCUUUGGUUGAACAAGUGGAUUUUGUCUGGCCUCUAAGUAGAGGUCUUGCUCUGAGCCUCUGCUCUUUGAGAGCAAGGUUUUUUCCUCUUACUUACCAGUUUAGUGUCUGGUACAUAGCUUCUUAGCGAAUAUUAGAUGGUCUGAAUGGAAAGUUUCAGUUCACCUAGAAUAUUUAAAGAAUGCUUAAUGAUUGAUUUAUCUCUUAUUUGCCAUGUGUAGGGUGACCACAAAUUUAUUGUUGAAACAUGGAUUUUUUUUUUUUUUUUUGUCUUUUUGCCAUUUCUUGGGCUGCUCCCGCGGCAUAUGGAGUCUCCCAGGCUAGGGGUCUAAACGGAACUGUAGCUGCCAGCCUAUGCCAGAGCCACAGCAACGCGGGAUCCGAGCCGCGUCUGCAACCUACACCACAGCUCACGGCAACGCCGGAUCAUUAACACACUGAGGAAGGUCAGGGAUCGAACCCGCAACCUCAUGUUCCUGUUGUGGCUCAGUGGAAACAAAUCUGACUAGUAUUUGUGAAGACACAGGUUUGAUCCCUGGCCCUGCUUAGUGAGUUGGGGAUCUGGUAUUGCCAUGAGCUGUGUUAUAGGUUGCACAUGUGGCUCAGAUUCAGCGUUGCUGUGGCUAUGACAUAGACUGGUGGCUACAGCUGAUUCCACCCUAGCUUG